GCAUAUCAAUAAGCGGAGGAAAAGAAACCAACAGGGAUUGCCCUAGUAACGGCGAGUGAAGCGGCAACAGCUCAAAUUUGAAAUCUGGCUUUCGGGCCCGAGUUGUAAUUUGUAGAGGAUACUUUUGAUGCGGUGCCUUCCGAGUUCCCUGGAACGGGACGCCAUAGAGGGUGAGAGCCCCGUCUGGUUGGAUGCCAAAUCUCUGUAAAGUUCCUUCAACGAGUCGAGUAGUUUGGGAAUGCUGCUCUAAAUGGGAGGUAUAUGUCUUCUAAAGCUAAAUAUUGGCCAGAGACCGAUAGCGCACAAGUAGAGUGAUCGAAAGAUGAAAAGCACUUUGAAAAGAGAGUUAAAAAGUACGUGAAAUUGUUGAAAGGGAAGCGUUUAUGACCAGACUUGGACUUGGUUAAUCAUCUGGGGUUCUCCCCAGUGCACUUUUCCAGUUCAGGCCAGCAUCAGUUUUCGCCGGGGGAUAAAGGCAGCGGGAAUGUGGCUCUCUUCGGGGAGUGUUAUAGCCCGUUGUGUAAUACCCUGGUGGAGACUGAGGUUCGCGCAUCUGCAAGGAUGCUGGCGUAAUGGUCAUCAACGACCCGUCUUGAAACACGGACCAAGGAGUCGUCUUCGUAUGCGAGUGUUCGGGUGUCAAACCCCUACGCGUAAUGAAAGUGAACGCAGGUGAGAGCUUCGGCGCAUCAUCGACCGAUCCUGAUGUUCUCGGAUGGAUUUGAGUAAGAGCAUACGGGGCCGGACCCGAAAGAAGGUGAACUAUGCCUGUAUAGGGUGAAGCCAGAGGAAACUCUGGUGGAGGCUCGCAGCGGUUCUGACGUGCAAAUCGAUCGUCAAAUAUGGGCAUGGGGGCGAAAGACUAAUCGAACCUUCUAGUAGCUGGUUUCCGCCGAAG
rnacentral:rRNA from 1 species